GAUCAUGAUCCUGCUUGCUCUUCAAGUGUUCAGGACAUAUUUGAAGUCCCACAAGCUACUGAUUAUCAGAGUCGAAAACCUUGUGAAUCCUGGAAAAUCACGCUUGGAAAGCCAGAUUCAGUCACUGAGAACACCUUGGAUUCACCUAAGAAACAUGAAAUAGAGAGGGUAAAGCCAAUAUUAAUUUCUACAAGUACAAACCAUGAGAGGAAAUUGCUUAAACCAAGAAAUCUGUUGAGUCUUUCGCGACCUCUUAUUCAAAAAGUGAAUCUUGGUAAUCCUCCUCCUGAUUAUAAACGGUUGAGUUGGAGAAUUGAUAGGCUUGAGAGAGAGAGAAAUUAUG
rnacentral:lncRNA from 1 species